UGAACCGGGAAAUUAGAGUGUUCAAAGCAGGCGUAACUCGCCUCCGAAUACGUUAGCAUGGGAUAAUGGAAUACGACUUCGGUCUUGUUUCGUUGGUUUCGCUUGGCUGAAGUAAUGAUUGAUACGGACAGUUGGGGGCAUUAGUAAGUUGUCAGAGGUGAAAUGCUAGGAUUUACUAAAGACUGACCAAUGCGUAAGCAUUUGCCAAGGAUGCUUCAUUAAUCAAGAACGAAAGUAGGGGGAUCGAAGACGAUCAGAUACCGUCGUAGUCUCUACCGUAAACUAUGCCGACCAGGGAUCCGGAGAGUUUGCAUGGAUGACUCCCCGGGCACCUUGUGAGAAAUCAUAAGUGUUUGGGACUUGGGGGGGAGUAUGGUCGCAAGGCUGAAACUUAAAGGAAUUGACGGAAGGGCACCACCAGGAGUGGAACCUGCGGCUUAAUUUGACUCAACACGGGGAAACUUACGAGGUCAGGACACUGUGAGGAUUGACAAUUUGCCUCGGUCAAGUC
rnacentral:rRNA from 1 species